UUAGUCAUAUAGUAUGAAAUCUGUCUGACCGGCCAAACACAAUAUUUUUGUCGCCUUCUAUCGCUUCUUAUAUAUAUUUAUUGUAUUUGAAAUUCCUGUCCCAUUUCGAUAAGAAUUACCUUCCUAAAAUGCAUUGAACGUGAAAAACAAUAAAAUGUAGUGGUAUGUGCAGUGGCGGCGCGGCUCGUCGGACAGCGGGCGCGCGGGCGCGGGCGCGGGCGCGGCCGUGGUGCGCGUGGUGCUGCCGGACGAGUGCCGCGGCAACAUCCGCCACGUGCCCGUGCCGUGCCGCCCCGGCGCGCGCGCGCGCGACCUGUGCCGCGCGCUCGCGCACGCCGCGCACAUCACCAACCCGCAGGACUACGCGCUCUUCGCGCUGCACGACGGACACGAAACAAUGUUAAACGAGAAUGACUGUCCUCAAGAAGUGAUGUCGGAGAAGAGCGGUCAAAACUUUACCUUAGCCUACAGAAGGAUAGAUGCCAAAAUAGCUUGGCCGCAACAAGCUUUACUGUCGUACCCAUAGACAAGAAUACGCGUUAUAAAGUGUCGUUGAGUAAAAGACAUUGGAAAAUACCUAUAUUUUUAUCACAAUAAACAAUAAAAUAAAGUGAUAUUUUCUACGAUAUUACUUGCGUUCAAUGCUUAAUGUUCUUGACGUAUCUCUAUUAAGUAACCAUUAUUAAGCAGUAUUUUAAGAGUCGCUACGUGUACUAAACCUCAACAUGUAUUCUAUAACGUAACUUUUUUAUUCUACAAAAUUGAAAUUAGUACCUUUAUUAUAAGGUAAUUUGACUGAGUAUUUAAGGUUUUUUCGCCUCCAUUUUUGUACAUUUUUCUAUGACGUGUGAGUUUAAUGGAAUGUUCUGGAAGGAGAGGUAUGCGAGGAAGAAUAAUGGUACUAAUUCUUCCUGCAUUGGAGAAGGGAUCAUAGAACUAUGAUAGCUGUAUUGCGUGUGCUGUUUUCAUUUUGAGAUUUUGCAUGAAUUGUGAUUUAACGGUAAGGAAUGUUUACCAUUUUCUAUUUCUUUCGAUACGUUUAGAUAUAAAAAUGUAAACAUAUUGGACUGCCUUAUAAAGGUGAUUGAUUUUUUCCCGGUGUGUGUUUGUAUAUGUUCCUAAAAUUGUACGCUAAAUGAACUCACCAAAUUAACGUUUUAGUUUUUAGUAUUUCGCUAAAAAUUUUCUAGUGCUAAUUAAUUUCGAUGUAUCGAUAUUUUAGCUUUUACUAACUUUUUUAUGAACUGUGAUGUAAUUUGUAUUAGUUAUAUGUUAAGAUAUUGAUUUUGUAUAUUCGUAGAGGCGUUUUUAAUAUAAUUUAUUUAUAUGUAAUCUUAAGUCCAAUAUUUAAACAAUGUUAACACUGUGGAUAAGUUGUAGCGGGCGAUUAAUGUACUCACCAAUUUUGCAUUAUUAAAUAAUAAAUUCAAAAUGAUCAAAAUGUAAGCGUUCUCUAACUCUGCUACAACUUAUUCAUUCUUUACAAACGUAUUCAAAUCUAUAAACUUUGCCUUAAUAUUAGUGGGACAAUAUUUUUCUAGUCUUUACCCAAAACUGUGUGUUUUUCUAUCUAUUGAAUGUCGAUAGUGAAACAUAAAACAAAAUUGUUGCGAAAAUAAUAUUGAAUUUGUGAAUAAAGUACAUGACAUCGUGCCUCUGUAGUUGCGCGUGGAAUGUCAGUUUGACAGUUUGUUAAUCACAUAACCUAUUUUCGAUAUGUAAUUGAUUUAAUCUUAUAUUAUCUUCUCAUAUCUUCCUUUCCUUCCGUAGUUUGCCUGCUGUAAAGCCCCCCCUCAUAAAGGCAAACAAAGUAACCGAAUAUGUCAGGGGUGUGCGCAUCAAUUGUAUUUAUUGCAUAUUUGUAAUAACGUUAGUUAAGUAACACGUAUAUUGUGUUUUGAUAAUAUUUUCAGUCAUUUCGCAAGUAAAAGAAUUUUUACCAAACAUAAA
rnacentral:lncRNA from 1 species